rnacentral:lncRNA from 1 species
GUUUCCCUCCAGGGAACCGGCUGAGUGUUUGUGGAACUCCUACCUGCCAGGGUGCCAGGUUUACUGGCUGAAGCUCAUUAAACCACAGGGUAGCCCUUCAGAGUUUCCUGAGCUGCAGAACAGCUGAGUGAGUUCAUUCUGACCCAGGAAGCAUGCUUAUAGAGGUUUCCUAUCCAAGCCUGAAGAUGAGAAAACUGAGGCACAGAGAAGUUAAGUGACUCAUCCAAGAUCGUACAACUGGCAAGUGGCAGAGCUGGGAUCCAAAUCCAGGAUGACUGGCUUCAAAGACCACACUUUUAACUACAGUGUUAUACUACUUCCUAAAAGAAGAUGCUACACUACACCUGAGUUGGCAGAUUUCUGGACUAAAGUGGAGCUGCUACCCCUGACUUCAGAGUUUUGAACGAUUUGUUCUUGGAAAUGACCUUGCACUGUAGCCUGGGAUCUGGCAUUUUCUUGCCAGCCCUGGAGAUGUGGGAGGCAGUAAGGAGCUAACAGGUUACUGUGAGCAAUCGUAGCUGCAAUGUGGUCCCUUGGGAAAGUUAGACCUCAUAACCUGGCUAUUUUUAUCUGUUAUUCUAGCCAGCCGAGGAACUCUGGACUGUGAACUGGUUUUCUUGUUUCACCUGAAGAAAACAAAAUAGGAAAGGCAAAUGGGAUGAUGAAAAUAAAAAUUCAAUGUCAGUAUCCCUGAAAGAAAGCAAAAUGCUUUUGGCACUCUGUGAACACUACUCCUCUAUUUAGGGUGCUAACUAAGAGUUGACUAGAUAAAUAUCUUGAUUGUAUGGUGGACCCUCUCAUUUAAACCCUACCCAUUUGAAUUUCAGACAACAGUUGAGUUAAAGCUUCUUUUGCUCUAGCCAUGAAUAAAAUGGUUUGCUGAGCAAAUUAAUAGUGUAAGCUCAAAUGCAUGGAAGAAUGAAAGAGAGCAAAUGUCUUAAUCCCCCUCAAGCACUGCAGAUGUAUAUACAGACAUUUAAAAAGCUUGCUGGUGGAAAAUCAUUCUUACUUACUUAGUGAAUCCUCCAAGGAAUUCUAUGCAGUCAUGUUGUUAGGCUAAACUGAACUGUAUGAAAUGAUUGUGGGGUCUGGCAUACCCCAACUCUGCUUUAGAUCACUUUGUGUAUGCAUAUAAUAAGCUUUAGAGCUUUAGCAUUUCUUGACAUUAGUUUAGCUAUUUUAUCAAGUGUUUUCCAAAGGGGUCUUUAAGACUUCUUCCUCCCUCAUAUUUCAUGGUAUUAUUUGAGCUAAGUGUGCUUUAGAUAUAUUGCAGCUGAACCCCUGGAAAUUGCAGUGGAAGGUUUUGAAUGGUGUGCUCUCUAGAGCCUAGACUAACCUUCCCCCAGACAAAUAUCUACCUGUCUUUGGAGUCUGACACAAAAUGACCACCGCCACCCCCAUGAGUCCUUUUCUGCUGGCCCAGGAGGAACAAGUUUUCUGUCCCCCAUAUUCACUGCACCUGGUGCCACCACACUCCCCUGGCCCGUGCAUGCUUUGUGUAGAUGAAUGUCUCUUUCACUAGACUCUAAAUGCCUCCAGAGUAGGGUCCUUUUCUGAUUUUUUUUUUCUAAAACUUUAAACAAUGAUUUCAAUUACAUAAGUAAUAACUGAGAACAGUUUCAAUGUUAAAAAAGAGAAAAAAAUCAAAAGUUUUCCUCUGACUCCCCUGUUCCAGUUCCCUCUAUAUCUACCCCAAUUUUUGUUUUGUUUGUAAUUUUUAUUUUAAAUUGUGGUUACAAACACAUGACAUGAAAUUUAGUAUCUUAAGUGUGGAGUUGAGUAGUGUUAAGUAUAUACAAUUUGUUAUGCAACAGAUCUCUAGAACUUUUUAAUCUUGC